rnacentral:rRNA from 1 species
CAGUGGCGGCAGCUAACACAUGCAGUCGAACGGCAGCACAGAGGAGCUUGCUCCUUGGGUGGCGAGUGGCGGACGGGUGAGGAAUACGUCGGAAUCUGCCUAUUUGUGGGGGAUAACGUAGGGAAACUUACGCUAAUACCGCAUACGACCUACGGGUGAAAGUGGGGGACCGCAAGGCCUCACGCAGAUAGAUGAGCCGACGUCGGAUUAGCUAGUUGGCGGGGUAAAGGCCCACCAAGGCGACGAUCCGUAGCUGGUCUGAGAGGAUGAUCAGCCACACUGGAACUGAGACACGGUCCAGACUCCUACGGGAGGCAGCAGUGGGGAAUAUUGGACAAUGGGCGCAAGCCUGAUCCAGCCAUGCCGCGUGUGUGAAGAAGGCCUUCGGGUUGUAAAGCACUUUUGUCCGGAAAGAAAAGCUUAGGGUUAAUAACCCUGAGUCAUGACGGUACCGGAAGAAUAAGCACCGGCUAACUUCGUGCCAGCAGCCGCGGUAAUACGAAGGGUGCAAGCGUUACUCGGAAUUACUGGGCGUAAAGCGUGCGUAGGUGGUUUGUUAAGUCUGAUGUGAAAGCCCUGGGCUCAACCUGGGAAUGGCAUUGGAAACUGGCUUACUAGAGUGCGGUAGAGGGUAGCGGAAUUCCCGGUGUAGCAGUGAAAUGCGUAGAUAUCGGGAGGAACAUCCGUGGCGAAGGCGGCUACCUGGACCAGCACUGACACUGAGGCACGAAAGCGUGGGGAGCAAACAGG